rnacentral:rRNA from 1 species
AGCGAAUGGAUUAAGAGCUUGCUCUUAUGAAGUUAGCGGCGGACGGGUGAGUAACACGUGGGUAACCUGCCCAUAAGACUGGGAUAACUCCGGGAAACCGGGGCUAAUACCGGAUAACAUUUUGAACCGCAUGGUUCGAAAUUGAAAGGCGGCUUCGGCUGUCACUUAUGGAUGGACCCGCGUCGCAUUAGCUAGUUGGUGAGGUAACGGCUCACCAAGGCAACGAUGCGUAGCCGACCUGAGAGGGUGAUCGGCCACACUGGGACUGAGACACGGCCCAGACUCCUACGGGAGGCAGCAGUAGGGAAUCUUCCGCAAUGGACGAAAGUCUGACGGAGCAACGCCGCGUGAGUGAUGAAGGCUUUCGGGUCGUAAAACUCUGUUGUUAGGGAAGAACAAGUGCUAGUUGAAUAAGCUGGCACCUUGACGGUACCUAACCAGAAAGCCACGGCUAACUACGUGCCAGCAGCCGCGGUAAUACGUAGGUGGCAAGCGUUAUC